GGUGGACUCGUCGACUCCGCAGUUGCGCGGUUGGUGUAUUUGAUUACAAAUAGCAGACGAAUCGUCCACGUCCAUAGAUCGCAACCACAACAAAUGGUAGUACAGGAAGCAAGGUUUAGCUUUCCCACAACUAAUUUUAUGUGCGUUCAAUGGAAACGUCAGACAAGAUGUCCUCAAUCCUUGCCCGUAUAUUAUUUUUCCCUUCAUUAGCAUACAAUGUAAUGAUGGAAAAGAUAUCAAGCAGACAGUGGUAUAAUCACGUCGACAAUCAUGUAAUUCUGGGAGCAUUGCCUUUACGAUAUAAAACUCGAGAGCUCGUUGAACAAGAAAAAGUGAAUGCAAUUGUUUCCCUUAAUGAAGAUUAUGAAGUUAGAUAUUUAACAAAUCAACCAGAGGAAUGGAAAAAGCUAGGUGUUGAAAAUAUUCGCUUUUCUGUGGUUGAUAUGUUUGAAGCACCUCCUCAAGAAAUGCUCCUAGAGGGUGUGGAAUUCAUGAACAAUACAGUCUCUAAAGGCGGUGUGGUAUAUGUGCACUGCAAAGCAGGUCGAUCAAGAAGUGCUGCUCUAGUUGCCUGUUACUUGAUGAAGAAACAUGGCUGGACUCCAGUACAAGCUAUUUUGCAUCUCAAAUCUGUGAGGCCACAUAUUCUCCUUCCUCCUAAUAAAGUUGAAGCCUUGGAUACUUUCUAUAAAAAUGAAGUUUUGUGCAAUUCAACAUAAUGUGUUAUUGUGACUAGAUGAAAAGCUGCAUGAUUUAUAAAGCUAUCGCCUGUUCAGCUUCUCCCCGCAACUGGCAGUACGAAAAAGAUACAGAAAAAUUUCUGAAUUCCAUGGUCGUAAACGACGGCCGACAAAAUGGCAAAAAGAAUUGUGCAAUCCCUUUCCGCUUUUUCCCCUCCAAAUUUCAACAAAAUGGUUACAAAUAAUAAGUGAAGCAACAAAUUUGAUCUAAUAGUUAGAAAACAGUACAGUUGUGGGCUUAGUGUGGACAGGACAUGGUGCGCUUAUUACCUCUCUUCAACAAGCAAUUUGAUCUUAUUGUUGAGGUAAUUUAUGUGGUCUUAAUCAUCACAAACACAGGUUUAUUAUAUCAAGACAAAAGAUGUGCAACAGAUUUUUGCAGUAUCUCGAGAAGAAUUUUUCUUGCUUCGGUCAAGACGUAAACGACGAUAAUUCAGCUGAGGAGCGCAGUGACAGGGAUGAUGACGAUCACAGUUCUUCUCAGAGUGAAAACAGUUCUUCUGAAAGAGAAAGUUUUCAAAGUUACAGUGAUGAUGACGACGAUGAGGAAGGCGCGGGAGAAGACGUUGUGGAGUCUACCGGAAGGAGCGCAACUCGGAAUUCAAGCUAUGAGGAUUGUUAUUCCAAAGCAAUGGGUUCAACAACGAAUAGUAUGAAGAAUGUGGAAUCCCUCAAAUCUUUCAAUGGACCAAGUAGAAACAAUUCACCAGAAGAAAAAAAGAACAAGUACGUACCGGUAAAAAUUAGAAGUAACGUAAGAAGCCAGAAAAUUAAUCAGGAGAUUCCAGAGAAACUAUCAAAAAGUGACACCCGUCACGCAAAACAGACCCGUCAGCAGCCCGAGGGCAGCCGGAAAGUUUCAAGCAAAACCGCCACAACAACGCUGCCGAAGGAGGAGAUGAAGAAGAAAACUCAGAGCAAACUUUCGAAUAAGGCGCCAACUGCAAAAGAGGAUAAAAAUUUCAAAAAGAAAGAUGACAAGAAAGCAGUAGGUAAACAGGAUCGCAAAAAAACGCCAGCUGGUGAAAAGAAAUCUCCAUUAAAAAGCAAAGAAGAAAACAAGAAUUUCAGAACUAAAUCGGUCGAAAAACCUAAAGAAAAAUUGGAAAAAGAAAGGAAAAGUCCCCCAAAGGAAAAACGGAAGACGGAAGAAGUUAAGCAAAGUGGGAAACAUUUGGAAGCAGUUACAGACAGCAGCAAGAAAUUGAAAUCAAAAUCAAACAAGACUGAAAUAAUGAAAUCGGCUCCAUUGCAGAACAAAACUGUCGCUAAUAAGAAAUUGGAACCUAAAAUGCCCAUGAAGAAUGGAUUGAAAAAAAAUAACAUCAGUAGAGCUGGUACGUUUGCUAAAAGGACAAGAAGUCUUCCUGGUCGGAGUGUUCCAAAAUUUACAUCAAAAUCUAUCCAUAAAAGAAGACUAACAAAAUAAAAAUAACUUGCUAGACCUACUCGUGAUGAUGAAAUUAUUGAAACCAAAGCUUCGUUUCCCACCAGCGACUUGCCAUUCUAAUAUGUCCAGUGUUAUAAAAUUGUACAAACAAUGUUGGUUGUUGUAACAUUUUUGGAUUUUUGUUACAAUAUAAAUUUAAUGUGAA